UACAAAUUAAUUUAGUGUGGAUCCAAUGGAGUACAUGCUAUCAAUUUGUGGGAAUGAGGCUCUUUGGGAGCUCUCAUCUCCUGGAAUAGUUGCAGCUUUUACAUGACAUCUGAUAACAAUUAUAUGGUUAAGACAAUGAAAAGGGAAGAAGUCAAAUGUGAAGUUUAGCGGAUCUUCACAACGGAAGGUAUGACUGAGUAAAACAUGAACAAGAACUUAACUUGCUGAUUACGUUUUUGUUCAUGGAGAUAUGGGGCUGUCACAUCCACAAUUCCACAAAAAAACUGUGACUAGAUUUCAGUUCAACAUGAUACAUACAUAAACUUCAUGAGUUCGAAGAAGAAAAAUCUCAUAUUAUGGCUUGAAUGAGGAUUCAGUGCAUUACUUUUGAUUACACAGGGUGUUUAUUAAGGUUCAUUUGGUAAUAUUGACUUAUUAAGUCUAAGUAGAGUUUAUGUUGUUCUUAAACUCAUUUGGCCUUAAUAGUUAAAAUGAAUUCUCUUUAU